CUAAAUAUAUUGCUAUUCCUUUCAUAAUGCUGACUGUGUAAGAGGAUAGCAUUAGGCUGGCCUAAUGCUAUCCUUUACCUGGCCUUAGGCUGAGAUGUAUAUAGCGCACUUUGACUUUGCUCCUUUGACUAGAGGCCCGUACCAGGUACGUCGUAGGUGCGUGGGCCGCUCGUUUGUAGCGCAUGGUAAGUGAGAUGUCAAUAUACUGUACAGAGUACGACUUUAAGCCCAUAUUUGAAUGUUUAUUUUUCUACCGAGCGGGAGUGGUGUCAUGUAAGUGAGCUAUGACCUUUAUUGUUCGGAAUAACCCAUCUAGUCUUGGAAGUCGUUGGUCCUAACACUUUAGUAGUCAUUCUAUGAAAAAAAAUACUUCUUAUAUACGUAAAGACAGCUGUUUGUGUAUAAUAAAUAUAAUAUAAGACGUGUUUAUUUAUUCUUGUGAAUAGUUGUACAUGUACCAAAGAAUGUUGUUUUAUUUGCUCAGUCUAUGUACAUACACUGGUUUGGAAUUUUUUGGGUUGAUUCUAUUAUAAAAUAGUUAAAGAAGGCUCAGAACAGCAGUUUAAAUAUGGAGAAUUCUGGCAUUUAAAAAAAGCCCAAAGAAUUGAAAGAUGCAAAUCAAUACAACUUAAAGCAAACCCAAACUACGGGACUAUCCUAGGAAAAUAGAGCUUGAGCGCUCGCAUACGAAACUCAACGAAACUAUAACAGUGCAAAUACAGAAACGAAGCUAAGCUAAUCAUUCCGUUUCACUCACACACUAUACGCAGUUGUAGGUGUAAGGGAGAUCGAAUGAUUAGCACCACUCUUUUUGAUUUGUUUCUUUAUUGGCACAACUCAUAUAAGAUUAAUGCAGAUACUUUCGAAAAACGUCGGCAAAACUCAUAGUAACCCAAACUUUUGUUGAAAGUUAGGCAUAUAUUUUUAUAUAAAACAUAAAUAGUGCAUUCACUGGUUACCUUCACAGCUACGUCAGUUUGUAUAAUUCCGAUUUCGUAUAGCAUGUAAAUGUGUCUUAAUAAAAACUCGGUAAAUAGUAGGUACCUAUUAAUAUUUGACAGAAGACUUUAUGGCAUUAUUUUACAUUUGCCGACAUUUUAAUUCCUAAUGUGCACAUAAUUAACUAUUGAAUUUUUGUUGAUAGAGCAAUCGAUCGUUACUCGAGUUUAAUCUGUGCAAUAGUGAAGAGUCGUGACUUAACAGAUUUACGCCAACUUCUGUGAUGAGUUUGUUUUCUAGAAAACUUGCUGAUGCUACCUUUAUAAAAUGUUUGUCUAAAAUCUAAAGACCUAUAAAAUUGAUAUGGCCUUAUCUCAUAUCAUAUCUAUAGUGAAAGUAGAUUUUUUUUUUUGCAAAAUAGACGUUUUUAGUUUUUACUUUUUGCCAGUAAACGACAAAGCAUAGAAGGCGCGUUUCACACAAAUUCAAAUCUUAAUCAUCAUUCGUUUUUCUAUUCCUUCGUCCAUUCUACUCGCUAAAACGUUUUUAACAUUUCUGAUACGAACCGCGAAGGUUUCGAACGCCCUUUCGGCAUCCGUGUUUCCUGCUAACUACGUAUGGCUUAUGUAUCUUCAAGGGAAGAGUGAAUAGGCAUCUUCAAUGCGAGCGCACGGCGCUUCAAUUUUGACCUCACCUAAUAGCUUUCCUCAAUGCAUGAUUGUCGUCAAGCGUAAGCCUAUCCUGCAAUAAAAAAAAACAGUAGAGAUUUCGUUUCGCUGUAAUGGAGCGCAUGGAGUAUUUCUAUGCUUUGUCGUUCAUUAUUUAUACAUAUCUAAUAUUAUUACUACCGAAGUUUAAGGUUCUUAUGGUCCAGAGAAAUUUAUCAUAAAAUAAAUUGUAUAAAAAGGUAUAUUAUAGCGACAGAAAAAAACUUGUUUUUUUAUUUAAAAAAAAAUAGGGCCUCUUUGGAGGAGCAGCGAAUGGAAAAAUCAAAGGUUGUGUUUUAGAGCAAAUAAUGAUUGUUACUAAAGUUGUGAAGCGAACAUGAGCCUGUCCAAUUGAGUACGAAACGAUGUCGGUUAGAAAUAGGCAAAUUGUAAAAAAUACUAAAUUAUUACAAAAUAAUGUAAUAAAAUAUGAUAUUUAGAGAUUACUGCUACUUAAACACUUGUACCUACUGGUCUUUCGUUGUGACGUGCAGACGUCUCUCGUUAUCUUUUCAAGGCCUAUUUUACAACCGCCACAUAAACUUUAUAUAAUGAAUAAAUUUGACGUUUUGACAGUUUUUGUCUUGGCAAUCUGUGAAAAUGUCAGACUUAUCCGUUAGAUUUUUAUGUGGCGAUUGUGAGAGCGGCCGCAUCCGACGCCGGCGACGGUGCUGCCCAAGUCUGAUACGGCACAGUUCUGGCGCGGUGUGUCUGACACGCUCAAUGUCUGUAGAUAUUAAACUAAACGGACCUUAAAAAGAUCGGUCUUUCGGAAAAGAUCGACAGAGUAAUCAGUAAAGAGCCGCGCACCUUGCGCCUCUGUCGCACGCGUUUGACGCCAUGAUAAUAAUUUGAUCUGAAGACCGAAGUGCACCUUAAACAUUGUUUUUAGUGCUUGAGCCUAAAAUGUAAAACUACGAUGACAAUAUUUAAAGGUUAAGUGAAAACUGAAAACAUCCAAGAGAAUCACUCGUGCCUACAAGAAAUAGUAAAAGAAAUAGUUGUAUAUCUAAAUUGUAAAGCUGAGAUCUGUUACUGUGUACAUUGUCUUUGCUCAGACUUAAGUUUAAGUUAAAAAGAGACAGAUAAUUAUGUCUAUGCUAAAAAACUGUCUCGCUUUACCUCUAAAUAGAUCUCAGCGUAAUUGCCUUAAGAAUAGCAUUUGAAAUUAUUUUUGUGUUCGUUUUUUCGUCAAAAAUACUAUUUAUUUCAUAUUCCGUGUAUUUCUAUAUUGCACUAUUAGUAGUUAAGUGGAUGUUGUACGAAUGUGAACUUUACUGCAACGGGUAUAAGGACUAAACUGUAUCUACUGGGUCUUUUAUUUGUUUGGGUCCAGAAUGAGAAAUCUUAUACCGAAAAACCUGGGAAUUGGAUCUAGUGAAACGUAUUGAAAUACUUAACUAGUUUGUUUUUGAUUUAAUUGAUUUCAUUGAAUAUGAAAUAGUUGACUUCCUAAAGAAAUAGUAUUUUUUAAAUUAAUUUUUAUACAAAGUUAUUCAAAACAAUGCCAUGAUUCCGUGGAAAUUACCAAAGUCAGUUUUCUGUAUGUAUUUUAUUUUAAGAUUUCCCAUGGCUAUACUUACCUAAACAAAUAAAACACUUGACCGGGAGUUUAAGUAAAGUUCGCAUAUAAAUGUUAUUAUAUCACAUAGUAUAUAGAUCAUGUACCCGUAUACAUGUGUUUAAUGUAGGUACUUAUAUGUAAUGAGUGUCUUGAUAAUAUUCAGAUGAACUGUAGCUAAAAUUCUCAUUUAUUUUUCUUUGUAAUUAUGAAAAAUUCAAGGUUUUUCAUGCAGCAGUAAACUAAGAUUUUGUUAAACUUUUCUCUGUUAGAAGUUAAAAUCAUUUCUGAUAACCAAAACUAGUCUAAGAUCCAUAGAACGCAUUUUGACUUUGCUUAGACUUAAGUUUCUGUUAAAAAGAGAUAGAUUUAUGUCGGCGAUAUAACGCUGUCUCAUUUUAAUAGUCUUAAGUUUGAGCAACCUCAACCUAAAAUAUGCUACAGAUUUCUAGGUGCAAAAAUCGGUUACAUAUAUAUUUUUUAUUUUAUUUUAAGUCUCUUGCAUAUUUUCAUUAUAAUAUCUCAAGUAGAUACAUAUUGCAUUAGGUUGUGACUGUUAAAGUUUUAGCUACAGUUUGGGGCGUCUGACAAAUGAGCUUAACUUUUUUACCAAGCUAGGUAAGGUCUAUAGAUUUGUUCAGAGAUGGAGAUAUUUAAAUUGUACAACGAAUGGUGUGGACUACACUCACAAAAGAUAAAUAUUGACUGUCCAUUUUUCUCCUUUUUUACAUUUAAAACAUGGGACCUCAGUGGUUUUACACAGUAGGCCCCAAUUACACGUGAAGUUUUACUCACAUAAGUAUAACAGCUUGCAGUAUGACAGCUUUACUACAAGAAGCUUUUUGUACAAGCGUGUUUACAUUAGUAAAUUUUUUGUAUGUCAAUCAUGGAAGCUACUUACGUGUGUAAAUCUAUAAUUUCAAAGUAUUUUAAUGGAUGUUCGGUUUUAUUCAGCGUUAGGUUGCCCGUUUUUUGCAAACGAACUUUGCCAAUGCGACUUAAAAAAUCGGUUGUACUCGUAGGUAUAGGUACUGUUUCGUUGUUCGGCAGAAUCAACUUGUGGCCGAGCAACUCCCAGGCACAUUCAUACCGACCAUUUGCCUCGCCAGCUGUACCUACCUACAUAUUUAUGAACCACAUGCCAUUACUUUAGUUGAUUAGUGGAAUAACCCACAAUAUUCAGGCAAAUCAUUUCCAUACAUUUGUUUUUUACGACGUAGUGCUAUCAGAAAAUUAUAACAGAUAAAAAUAUUGUCGAAGCAUAAUUAUUGAAAUAUCAUUUGACAGACAAAAUCUGUAAAAUAAAAACAAUUGCAUUUAGAGUGUGGUCCAAAAUGAUGUGUCUGUUAGAUUGUAAGCAUCUCGAUGUAUUUUGUUGUUGUAUAUCAUUCAAGCAGGAGGACGGUAUUAUGUAUUGUCUGAUAAUAAAGCUAGUCAUUGUGUUU